rnacentral:rRNA from 1 species
GCGUGACGCAGCAACGCCGCGUGGGGGAAGAAGGCCUUCGGGUUGUAAACCCCUUUCAGUUGGGACGAAGCUUCGUCGGUUAAUAGCCGGCCGGAGUGACGGUACCUUCAGAAGAAGCCCCGGCUAACUACGUGCCAGCAGCCGCGGUAAUACGUAGGGGGCUAGCGUUGUCCGGAAUCAUUGGGCGUAAAGCGCGUGUAGGCGGUCCGGUAAGUCCGCUGUGAAAGUCGGGGGCUCAACUCUCGGAUGCCGGUGGAUACUGUCGGGCUUGAGUACGGAAGAGGCGAGUGGAAUUCCUGGUGUAGCGGUGAAAUGCGCAGAUAUCAGGAGGAACACCAAUUGCGAAGGCAGCUCGCUGGGACGUUACUGACGCUGAGACGCGAAAGCGUGGGGAGCAAACAGGAUUAGAUACCCUGGUAGUCCACGCUGUAAACGAUGGGCACUAGGUGUGGGGGGUGUCGACUCCCUCCGUGCCGAAGCUAACGCAUUAAGUGCCCCGCCUGGGGAGUACGGCCGCAAGGCUA